GGAUGUAGGGGUGAUCUGGCUGCAACAUACGUCGCCCCACUGAUAGCCAGAGCCGAAUCGGCUCAUCUGGCUGGUGAGUGUCUCUUUCCUCUCUCACUGCUCCAUGGACAUGUGUCCCUCCUAGAGCCGCAAGCUCUCUUGAUCAAAGAGGACGACCGUCCCUCCUAGAAGAGGACCGUUCUUUAGUCAAGGGUAUAACAAGUAGCUGUGCUCCACUUCUAGAACCCUCGAACAAGCUCACAAGGUUCAUUUGUGGGAGAAUGUAGGGUAGUCAAGCUUCCAGGACUCCAGACACAUCCCGACGUUAGGUGCUGCCUGUGACAGUCUGCUUUUCUAA
ensembl:misc_RNA 7SK 7SK RNA